AAAGAUCGCAGCCUGCGGCAGCGCCUACAGGAUCGGGUUUUCACUCGGUCAAUGCAGGAGCUGUCGCAGGCUGCGAUCUUU
rnacentral:antisense_RNA from 1 species